GAUGAACGCUGGCGGCGUGCCUAAUACAUGCAAGUCGAGCGAACGGACGAGAAUCUUGCUUCUCUGAUGUUAGCGGCGGACGGGUGAGUAACCCGUGGAUAACCUACCUAUAAGACUGGGAUAACUUCGGGAAACCGGAGCUAAUACCGGAUAAUAUUUUGAACCGCAUGGUUCAAAAGUGAAAGACGGUCUUGCUGUCACUUAUAGAUGGAUCCGCGCUGCAUUAGCUAGUUGGUAAGGUAACGGCUUACCAAGGCAACGAUGCAUAGCCGACCUGAGAGGGGGAUCGGCCACACUGGAACUGAGACACGGUCCAGACUCCUACGGGAGGCAGCAGUAGGGAAUCUUCCGCAAUGGGCGAAAGCCUGACGGAGCAACGCCGCGUGAGUGAUGAAGGUCUUCGGAUCGUAAAACGCUGUUAUUAGGGAAGAACAUAUGUGUAAGUAACUGUGCACAUCUUGACGGUACCUAAUCAGAAAGCAACGGCUAACUACGUG
rnacentral:rRNA from 1 species